rnacentral:tRNA from 1 species
UGGAGAGGUACCCAAGAGGUCGAAGGGGGCUGACUCGAAAUCAGUUAGGCGUGUCAAAGCGUGCGAGGGUUCGAAUCCCUCUCUCUCCGU